rnacentral:rRNA from 1 species
GAUGAACGCUGGCGGCGUGCCUAAUACAUGCAAGUCGAACGGCAGCACGGGUGCUUGCACCUGGUGGCGAGUGGCGAACGGGUGAGUAAUAUAUCGGAACGUACCUUAUUGUGGGGGAUAACGCAGCGAAAGCUGUGCUAAUACCGCAUAAUCCCUAAGGGGGAAAGCGGGGGACCGUAAGGCCUCGCGCAAUUAGAGCGGCCGAUGCCUGAUUAGCUUGUUGGUGGGGUAAAAGCCCACCAAGGCGACGAUCAGUAGCUGGUCUGAGAGGACGAUCAGCCACACUGGGACUGAGACACGGCCCAGACUCCUACGGGAGGCAGCAGUGGGGAAUUUUGGACAAUGGGGGCAACCCUGAUCCAGCAAUGCCGCGUGAGUGAAGAAGGCCUUCGGGUUGUAAAGCUCUUUUGUCAGGGAAGAAACACCGGCUCUAACACAGUCCGGGAAUGACGGUACCUGAAGAAUAAGCACCGGCUAACUGCGUGCCAGCCGCCGCCGUAA